rnacentral:misc_RNA from 1 species
UCUCCGUAGGUGAACCUGCGGAGGGAUCAUUACCGAGUGAGGGUUUCGGCCCGACCUCCAACCCUUUGUGAAUCAAACCUGUUGCUUCGGGGGCGACCCUGCCGUUCGCGGCGCGGCGCCCCCGGUGGACCACCCAACCCUGCAUCGUUGCGUCUGAGUCGAAAUAUAAAUCAAUCAAAACUUUCAACAACGGAUCUCUUGGUUCUGGCAUCGAUGAAGAACGCAGC